AUCUGGUUCAGGACGAACGCUGGCGGCGUGCCUAAUACAUGCAAGUCGAACGGUCUUUCUAUGGAAGCUUGCUUCCACUGAGAAGAUAGUGGCGAACGGGUGAGUAACACGUGGGUAACCUGCCCAUAAGAGGGGGGAUAACAUCCGGAAACGGGUGCUAAUACCGCAUAGUUUUCUUGAUCGCAUGAUCGGGAAAGGAAAGACGGCCUUUGUGCUGUCGCUUAUGGAUGGACCCGCGGCGUAUUAGUUAGUUGGUGAGGUAACGGCUCACCAAGACGAUGAUACGUAGCCGACCUGAGAGGGUGAUCGGCCACAUUGGGACUGAGACACGGCCCAAACUCCUACGGGAGGCAGCAGUAGGGAAUCUUCCGCAAUGGACGAAAGUCUGACGGAGCAACGCCGCGUGAGUGAAGAAAGGUUUUCGGAUCGUAAAACUCUGUUGUCAGAGAAGAACAAGUUGGAGAGUAACUGCUCCAGCCUUGACGGUAUCUGACCAGAAAGCCACGGCUAACUACGUGCCAGCCGCCGC
rnacentral:rRNA from 1 species